rnacentral:tRNA from 1 species
CAAAAAAUAGUUUAAAUAAAACAUUAAUUUUGGAAAUUAAAAUUAUUAUAUAUUUAAUUAAAUAUUAUUUUUUUUGA